AAUUUUGGACAAUGGGGGAAACCCUGAUCCAGCCAUCCCGCGAGUAUGAUGAAGGCCUUCGGGUUGUAAAGUACUUUUGGCAGAGAAGAAAAGGUAUCCCCUAAUACGGGAUACUGCUGACGGCAUCUGCAGAAUAAGCACCGGCUAACUACGGGCUAGCAGCCGCGGUAAUACGUAGGGUGCAAGCGUUAAUCGGAAUUACUGGGCGUAAAGCGUGCGCAGGCGGUUUGGAAAGAAAGAUGUGAAAUCCCAGGGCUCAACCCUUGAACUGCCUUUUUUACUACCGAACUAGAGAUUGACAGAGGGGGGUAGAAUUCCGCGUGUAGCAGUGAAAUGCGUAGAUAUGCGGAGGAAUACCGAUGGCGAAGGCAGCCCCCUGGGAUAAUACUGACGCUCAUGCACGAAAGCGUGGGUAGCAAACAGG
rnacentral:rRNA from 1 species